rnacentral:tRNA from 1 species
GGACUUGUUAGCUCAGUCAGUUGAGCAUAGCGCUAAAAACGCUAAGGUGGCAGGUUCGAUUCCCGUUCAGUCCC